UCCUGUGGCUCAAUUGGUAGAGCAUUGCGCUAACAACACAAAGGUCAUGGGUUCAAAUCACAAAAAUGAG
rnacentral:tRNA from 1 species